GACUUAUCCAGAGAGGCGGAGGGACUGGCCCUGUGACGCCCGGCAACCAUCAGGCAGAUGUGUCUGAAAAGGUGCCAAUUCCAGCAGGAUUCAAAUCCUGAAAGAUAAGAG
rnacentral:ncRNA from 2 species